GGGCGCACGGUGGAUGCCUUGACACUAGGAGUCGAUGAAGGACGGGACUAACGCCGAUAUGCUUCGGGGAGCUGUAAGUAAGCUUUGAUCCGAAGAUUUCCGAAUGGGGAAACCCACCAUACGUAAUGGUAUGGUAUCCUUAUCUGAAUACAUAGGGUAAGGAAGACAGACCCAGGGAACUGAAACAUCUAAGUACCUGGAGGAAGAGAAAGCAAAUGCGAUUUCCUGAGUAGCGGCGAGCGAAACGGAACAUAGCCCAAACCAAGAGGCUUGCCUCUUGGGGUUGUAGGACAUUCUAUACGGAGUUACAAAGGAACGAGGUAGACGAAGCGACCUGGAAAGGUCCGUCGUAGAGGGUAACAACCCCGUAGUCGAAACUUCGUUCUCUCUUGAAUGUAUCCUGAGUACGGCGGAACACGUGAAAUUCCGUCGGAAUCUGGGAGGACCAUCUCCCAAGGCUAAAUACUCCCUAGUGAUCGAUAGUGAACCAGUACCGUGAGGGAAAGGUGAAAAGCACCCCGGARGGGGAGUGAAAGAGAUCCUGAAACCGUGUGCCUACAAAUAGUCAGAGCCCGUUAACGGGUGAUGGCGUGCCUUUUGUAGAAUGAACCGGCGAGUUACGAUCCCGUGCGAGGUUAAGCUGAAGAGGCGGAGCCGCAGCGAAAGCGAGUCUGAAUAGGGCGUUUAGUACGUGGUCGUAGACCCGAAACCAGGUGAUCUACCCAUGUCCAGGGUGAAGUUCAGGUAACACUGAAUGGAGGCCCGAACCCACGCACGUUGAAAAGUGCGGGGAUGAGGUGUGGGUAGCGGAGAAAUUCCAAUCGAACCUGGAGAUAGCUGGUUCUCCCCGAAAUAGCUUUAGGGCUAGCCUUAAGUGUAAGAGUCUUGGAGGUAGAGCACUGAUUGGACUAGGGGUCCUCAUCGGAUUACCGAAUUCAGUCAAACUCCGAAUGCCAAUGACUUAUCCUUAGGAGUCAGACUGCGAGUGAUAAGAUCCGUAGUCAAAAGGGAAACAGCCCAGACCGCCAGCUAAGGUCCCAAAGUGUGUAUUAAGUGGAAAAGGAUGUGGAGUUGCUUAGACAACUAGGAUGUUGGCUUAGAAGCAGCCACCAUUUAAAGAGUGCGUAAUAGCUCACUAGUCGAGUGACUCUGCGCCGAAAAUGUACCGGGGCUAAAUACACCACCGAAGCUGCGGAUUGAUACCAAUGGUAUCAGUGGUAGGGGAGCGUUCUAAGGACAGUGAAGUCAGACCGGAAGGACUGGUGGAGUGCUUAGAAGUGAGAAUGCCGGUAUGAGUAGCGAAAGACGGGUGAGAAUCCCGUCCACCGAAUGCCUAAGGUUUCCUGAGGAAGGCUCGUCCGCUCAGGGUUAGUCAGGACCUAAGCCGAGGCCGACAGGCGUAGGCGAUGGACAACAGGUUGAUAUUCCUGUACCACCUCUUUAUCGUUUGAGCAAUGGAGGGACGCAGAAGGAUAGAAGAAGCGUGCGAUUGGUUGUGCACGUCCAAGCAGUUAGGCUGAUAAGUAGGCAAAUCCGCUUAUCGUAAAGGCUGAGCUGUGAUGGGGAAGCUCCUUAUGGAGCGAAGUCUUUGAUUCCCCGCUGCCAAGAAAAGCUUCUAGCGAGAUAAAAGGUGCCUGUACCGCAAACCGACACAGGUAGGCGAGGAGAGAAUCCUAAGGUGUGCGAGAGAACUCUGGUUAAGGAACUCGGCAAAAUGACCCCGUAACUUCGGGAGAAGGGGUGCUUUCUUAACGGAAAGCCGCAGUGAAUAGGCCCAAGCGACUGUUUAGCAAAAACACAGCUCUCUGCGAAGCCGUAAGGCGAAGUAUAGGGGGUGACACCUGCCCGGUGCUGGAAGGUUAAGGAGAGGGGUUAGCGUAAGCGAAGCUCUGAACUGAAGCCCCAGUAAACGGCGGCCGUAACUAUAACGGUCCUAAGGUAGCGAAAUUCCUUGUCGGGUAAGUUCCGACCCGCACGAAAGGUGUAACGAUUUGGGCACUGUCUCAACCAGAGACUCGGUGAAAUUAUAGUACCUGUGAAGAUGCAGGUUACCCGCGACAGGACGGAAAGACCCCGUGGAGCUUUACUGUAGCCUGAUAUUGAAUUUUGGUACAGUUUGUACAGGAUAGGCGGGAGCCUUUGAAACCGGAGCGCUAGCUUCGGUGGAGGCGCUGGUGGGAUACCGCCCUGACUGUAUUGAAAUUCUAACCUACGGGUCUUAUCGACCCGGGAGACAGUGUCAGGUGGGCAGUUUGACUGGGGCGGUCGCCUCCUAAAGUGUAACGGAGGCGCCCAAAGGUUCCCUCAGAAUGGUUGGAAAUCAUUCGUAGAGUGCAAAGGCAUAAGGGAGCUUGACUGCGAGACCUACAAGUCGAGCAGGGACGAAAGUCGGGCUUAGUGAUCCGGUGGUUCCGCAUGGAAGGGCCAUCGCUCAACGGAUAAAAGCUACCCCGGGGAUAACAGGCUUAUCUCCCCCAAGAGUCCACAUCGACGGGGAGGUUUGGCACCUCGAUGUCGGCUCAUCGCAUCCUGGGGCUGUAGUCGGUCCCAAGGGUUGGGCUGUUCGCCCAUUAAAGCGGUACGCGAGCUGGGUUCAGAACGUCGUGAGACAGUUCGGUCCCUAUCCGUCGUGGGCGUAGGAAAUUUGAGAGGAGCUGUCCUUAGUACGAGAGGACCGGGAUGGACGCACCGCUGGUGUACCAGUUGUUCUGCCAAGGGCAUAGCUGGGUAGCUAUGUGCGGAAGGGAUAAGUGCUGAAAGCAUCUAAGCAUGAAGCCCCCCUCAAGAUGAGAUUUCCCAUAGCGUAAGCUAGUAAGAUCCCUGAAAGAUGAUCAGGUUGAUAGGUUCGAGGUGGAAGCAUGGUGACAUGUGGAGCUGACGAAUACUAAUAGAUCGAGGACUUAACCAU
rnacentral:rRNA from 1 species